CCACAAUGGACGAAAGUCUGAUGGAGCGACGCCGCGUGCGGGAUGAAGGCCUUAUUGGGUUGUAAACCGCUGUCAGGGGGGAAGAACAUCGGAAUGAACAAUACUCAUUCCGACUGACGUUUACCCCAGAGGGAAGCUCCGGCCAAACUCCGUGCCAAGCCAGCCGCGGUAAUACGGGGGGAGCAAGCGUUGUCCGGAAUUAUUUGGGC
rnacentral:rRNA from 1 species